rnacentral:rRNA from 1 species
CGGACGGGUGAGUAACACGUGGAUAACCUACCUAUAAGACUGGGAUAACUUCGGGAAACCGGAGCUAAUACCGGAUAAUAUAUUGAACCGCAUGGUUCGAUAGUGAAAGACGGUUUUGCUGUCACUUAUAGAUGGAUCCGCGCCGCAUUAGCUAGUUGGUAAGGUAACGGCUUACCAAGGCGACGAUGCGUAGCCGACCUGAGAGGGUGAUCGGCCACACUGGAACUGAGACACGGUCCAG